GCUAGAGUGGUGUAGUGGUUUGAGCGUCGCACCAUGAUUCUGGAGACCAGAGUUUGAAUCUCUGCUCAGCC